GACGAACGCUGGCGGCGUGCCUAAUACAUGCAAGUAGAACGCUGAAGAGAGGAGCUUACUCUUCUUGGAUGAGUUGCGAACGGGUGAGUAACGCGUAGGUAACCUGCCUUGUAGCGGGGGAUAACUAUUGGAGACGAUAGCUAAUACCGCAUAACAAUGGAUGACACAUGUCAUUUAUUUGAAAGGGGCAUUGGCCCCACAACAAGAGGAACUUGCGUUGUAUUAGCUGGUAGGUGAGGUAAUGGCUCACCUAGGCGACGAUACAUAGCCGACCUGAGAGGGUGAUCGGCCACACUGGGACUGAGACACGGCCCAGACUCCUACGGGAGGCAGCAGUAGGGAAUCUUCGGCAAUGGGGGCAACCCUGACCGAGCAACGCCGCGUGAGUGAAGAAGGUUUUCGGAUCGUAAAGCUCUGUUGUAAGUCAAGAACGGGUGUGAGAGUGGAAAGUUCACACUGUGACGGUAGCUUACCAGAAAGGGACGGCUAACUACGUG
rnacentral:rRNA from 1 species